ensembl:lncRNA
CAUGUUUUUGUCUCAAUUUACUGUUUACUUGUUAUAUAUAUUGCCUGUUCAGAACUGAAAACAUUUAAGAAACUAGUAGUUCUAGGGCUGUAUUGGGGUCUCUCUCUCUCUCUUUCAUAAAGUAGAGUGGUAAGGCUUGCUGCCUUCUGUCUUGGUCAAUUUGUAACAGAGUCCUGUGGGAUGCAGCCCUUAGCAUUACCCUGCAGCCCGGUACCCCUAGUGGCCCUGCUCAGCCACUGGUUGGUGCCACAGCGGCCCCUCCCACAAGCGACCAACUGUCAGAGAGCAACCGUUAGUGGUCCUGCUCAGCCACUGGUCAGUGCCACGCGGGCCCCUCCCACAAGCAACUGUCAGUGAGCUACCGUCAGUGGCCUGUUCAGUCAGCUGUAGGCAAAGUGGUGGUCCUCAGGCGAAGAGUGAGACUAGAGGUGGAUCCUGGCUUCUCCCGGGGCUCACCCUGCCUAGGGCCAGGGGGUGAACAGGUGGCCCAGGAAACAGUCUGAAGGUGGUGUUCUGUAGGGCUCCAGAGCCCCCACCAAGGCCGCCCUGUUGCUGGGCCGGGCCCUGAGGUGGCAGUGAACUUCUCCCCCAUUCCUGCCUCUGCCCCCUCAUGGAAGCCACCGUCUGCAUAGAACGCGGUCUGUGGGAUUGAUCCCUGCCUCUGGGCAGCCUGAGGAGCUUGCGAGAGGGCUGUGUCCCGGGCGUUUCACUCCUUCAUGGAUGCCAUUUGGUCAGGGUCUGGGGACCUGGCCCUGAGGGAGCCACUAGCUGAGCUCUGCCUCCUCUCAAGCCAGGACGGGACCUCAGAGAAAGUUGUGCCUGUCGUGCCUGAGGGCCUGGUUGUUUCUCCUCAGAACCAGGAAUAACACUUGUUUAGCGCAGAUUUACAGGAACAUCAUUACCUGACCAGGACUUGACCUUGGGAAAGGCUCCACGACACCAAGGAGUUUAGACACCUCAUCAUGCCCCUCCCUCCCCUUUCCUAGAAAAGGCCUCUGCUGAGAGCUUUUGGGGAGUCUGGGGUUUAGGAGCUGAGCCACCUGUCUCCUCAGUGGCCCUACACGAAAUCUUCCUCUGCACCAAAAGCAGACAUUUCAGUAUCUUUUGGCCCCACUGGGCCAUGGGGCCCAGAUACUUGUGUUUCAAUAACACAUGAAGGCAGAGACCCUCCCUCCACCCUCUAAAGUCCCUUCCCCACUCUGGGUCCUCCUCUAAGAAUGUGGCUUCUCAAAAGGGAAGGAGACCCAGGGUGACGGGGCAGCACGGGUGGAGUGGGACCCAGUCUCCUGACCAGACUCGGACUGACGGGCCUGUGUCUGGGGAUGGGAUCGGGCCAGCAUCCUGACCAAAGCCGCCAUCCUGGGGGGAGCCAGUCACACUUUGGGCUAAGACCUGCCCAGCAGGACCUCGGCCUUCAGGGGAACAGGGCCGGCAGAAUGCAGAUGCCCCAUCCUGGUUGCUACGGGCCUGCCUCACCGGGCAGAGGAUACGCAGCUACCUGGUGGGAACAGAGGACCCAGCCCAGAGGAGGAUGCUGCCUCCCCACGCAGAUCUGGAGGGGAGCCUGUGGGCGGGAAAGAUCGAACAUCAAGUGACUCCUGAAGAGCUACAGCACUUAAAUGCACUCUUUCAGGAGUAUGAGAAGAGAGGAAGACAGCUGCUGGAUAUGGAAACUUUCAAGUGCAUAAUGAAGCAGAGCACGAGGUCACGGAAGAAAGUAAAUGGGUUUUAUAAAUGUUGGAUCAUUGAAACCACAGUUAAAACUUCAACUGUAGGAACCAAUUAGGCCUGAUGAUCUAUCUGCACAAUCGCUCUCAGCUCUGAACUGUGAUUUCUGCUGAGAUCCAGCCGGCUUACUGAACAGUUUAUAUGGGAAAAUAUUUCUAAAUUACUUGGUACACUAGGCCAACAAAACACGUAGAGACUUUUCUGGAAAAGGAGAAAAAGGCUCUUAUUAGAUCACUGGUUCUUUGUGUAUGUGUGCUCAGUAGCUUCGGUCAUUUGACCCCUUGUGACCCUAUGGACUGUAGCCCGCCACGCUCCUCUGUCAAUGGGAUUUUCUAGGCAAGAAUACUGGAGCGGGUUGCCAUUUCCUCCUCCAGGGGAUCUUCCCAAGCCAGGGAUCAAACUUGAGUCUCCUGCAUGUCUUGCAUUGGUAGGCGGAUUCUUUACCAAUGAGCCAUCAGGGAUAUGGGUUGUUCCCAAAGAGUUUGGGCAUUUUUCCCACCCCUAAACUGCUGGAAUUAGGAUUUUAAAUAUUCUCUCUGCCAUCUUAGUUGCCUGGUUUUUGGCCCAGAGUAUGAAAUCUUAUUGAAUAUUUUAGUCUGUUCAGGCUAUAAAAAUGCCAUGAAAAGAGUGGCUUAUAAAUGACAAGCCUUUAUUUCUCACAGUUCUGGAGGCUGGAACAAGGUCAAGGUGCCCAAAGUCUCUGGUGAGGGUCCUCCUUCAGGUUGCAGACUUCUCAUUGGAUCCUCCCAGGGAAGAAGGGGCAAGGGAGCUCUCUGGGGUCUCUUGCAUAAGAUGACAAAUGCUAUUCUUGAGGGCUCCAUGUUCAUGCCCCAAGUAUUAACCUCCCAAAGGUCCCACCUCCUAAUACCAUCUCUCUGGGCAUUAGGGUUUCAACAUGUGAACUGGAUUGGGACACAAACAUUCAAGCCAUAGCAAUGACUAGGCUAUGUUCAUAAGAUAAAAUACAGGCUAUAUCAAGAGAUGCUGUUUAUACUCUACUUUCUAAAGUUUCAUUGCAUCUUAAACUGUAAAAAAAAAAAAAAAUUCAAGAUAAAGUUCUACAGUCUUGUCCCUGGAGUUUGGACAAAACCCCACCAUUGUCAAACUGCAAGUGGAUGAGGUCCCCAACGCCUCUUCUGUGUUACAAAGUGUCCAGUUUUCAUGGCUAUAGUAGAAGUUUAAGUGUGCUUAGAGUUUCAUCCACUGUGAAGUGAUCAUUAAAUAGCACCUACCUUUUAAAAAAUACUCCAUAUGCAUAAUGUUAAACAAAAAACCUUCUUCUGGGUAGAGAGAGGAGUGUUUUUAAUAGAUUUUUAUCAGGUACUUUAGAUAUUAACACACUGUAAAUGAACUAUACUUCAAUAAUAUAAAUUUGAAAAUAAACAUAUAAAUUAUCAGGUGUUUUAACAAUAUCCCAGAUCUUUUUAACCAAAGCAGUCUGAUUAGCUACAUUUUUAGCAUGCCUGCCAGCCUAGUCAGUCAUCUCAUUCUUUCUCCUCUGAUUCAUUCGCUCACUCAGUCACUCAUUCUUUCAAUAAAUAUUUACCUGUGGCACACAGAGUCAGCCAAGACGUGGUCUCUGUCCUUAGGCAGGUCAGAGCUGACCUAGAAUUCAGUCUGGGUGCUGUGGGAACAUCUAAAGCAGAGCAGGAAGCCAGGAAGUUCUCCUGGAGGAGAUGAACCCUGGGCUGUUUUCAGGGGCCCGAUGUGAAGGGUGAGUAUUUCUGAUAUGGGUGGCAUCGAGGAAUGGUGGUCUCACACCAAGCUCUGCGGUUGCCUUGGGGAGCAGAGAAGGUGAUGUUCUAUUUUCCUAUUUCUGUAUCUUCCCAUGUGCUGUUUCCUUAUCUAGAAUGCUUCCCUCCCAUUUUUUGCCAGAGUAAUAAUCCUCUCUGUUUUCUGAUUUUUCUUUAUAUUCCCAGAAUUCAGGACCAUGCCUGGCAUGUACAGGUGCCCAAAUAAAUGCUACAGAAUGAGUGAAUGACUUUAAGGCAAUGUAGUCAUCGUGGACUCAGUUGAGUAUGUCUUAGCAGAAGGAGAAGGGGAUAACAGAGGAUGAGAUGGUUGGAUGGCAUCACUGACUCAAUGGACAUGAGUUUGAGCAAACUCUGGGAGAUAGUGAAGGACAGGGAAGCCUAGAGUGCUGCAGCUCAUGGGGUCACAAAGAGUUGGACAUGACUGAGCGCCUGAACAACAGCAAUUUUCCUAGAAGUAGCUGCUGCUUCUUUUAAGCUGAUAGUGGUCUGCAGUUUCCUGUAACACAGAAGUUAUCUUUUGCACUACAUUGCUGACUCACCAUAACCCCAGUAGGCAGCAAAUGCCAUGAGGGCAAUAAGGCAUCUUUCAGCUCCGAAGCUACAACAUCCAGCACAAAGCCUGGCACACCACUGGUGCUCAACAAGUGAGCAAUGUGAGGCGGCAGUGGUCCAGUGUCCCUCACAUAGUCAUGCUGAGAAGGCAGUCCCCCGGGCAGGGGCAGAGGCUGUUCCUGUAAACACAGGCUUCCCAACUCUGCUCUGGCUGAUGGAAGAAGCUGGGUGUCUCUGGGCAGAGUUACAAUGCUGCAAGGCCAAGGGGUGGUCAUGUGACGGCCGGUGCACUGCCUGAGGGCCCACUCCCACCGUGGCCCUUGCCUGCUGGUGGCCAGGCAGACCCAUGCCUCUUCCAGACUCUGUUUUGUGGCGACAGGGGAGAACCAGGUGGGCAGCCUGAGCCCAGGCAGUGAUUGCCCUCCUCUUGAGCUUUUUUGUUUUCACUUCCCUCUCUGGUCCUAGUCUCUCAGGAAGCCACCCCUCCGGGUGUUUUGGUUUGUUUUCAUUCUAAAAGUAUUUGUUACAAACUAUGUGCAUAGUAUCACCUUGUUGCCAUGGUAAUGUCUGCACUGUAAGCCACACCCAGGAGUGCAGAGCAUGUCUCCUUGGGAGCAUGACUUAGAAGGAACUGGGCUGACCUUAGUCCACAGCCAGGGUGUCUCCUCAUGACCCCUACGCUGACACUGGGUAUUGACUCACCAUGGGGUGAUGCCCUGGUGUCUUGGAGAUCAGGCAUCAUCUCUUUUUCUCCAUUUCAGCUUCAUUACUGUGCAAAGGCAAACACCCCUGAGACUUGUAAGAGAAAAGCCAACAUCUCACUCCCCAAAAUAGACAUAAAACCUGACCAUCUCUAGCGAAGCUGCAAUUAUGGAAUCCUGGGUUUUGAGAGGACUUGAAAGGUCACUUAUAUAUUACCUCUUCAGUGGACAAAUUCUCUUUUCUGUGAGCCAGGAGCCUGCAUCUGCUCGAAUACCUUAAGUUAAAGGCAACUUCAGCUAACGGUAGCCCAUUUCCCAUUUCAAGGUUGGAGAGCUCUGACCUUAAUUUUUUCCCUUUAUGAACUGCAAUUGGUCUGUCUUGACUUUCUACCCAUUAGCCCACUUUCUAAUCUUUUGAACCACUCUAUAAGAAUACACAGAAGAACUGUACAAAAAAGAUCUUCGCGACCAAAUAAUCAUGAUUGUGUGAUCACUCACCUAGAGCCAGACAUCCUGGAAUGUGAAGUCCAGUGGGCCUUAGAAAGCAUCACUACGAACAAAGCUAGUGGAGGUGAUGGGAUUCCAGUUGAGCUGUGCUGCACUCAAUAUGCCAGCAAAUUUGGAAAACUCAGCAGUGGCCACAGGACAGGAAAAGGUCAGUUUUCAUUCCAGUCCCAAAGAAAGGCAAUGCCAAAGAAUGUUCAAACACAGCUGCUCUCAUCUCACACGCCUGUAAAGUAAUGCUCAAAAUUCUCCAAGCCAGGCUUUAGCAACAUGUGAACUGUGAACUUCCAGACAUUCAAGCUGGUUUUAGAAAAGGCAGAGGAACCAGAGAUCAAAUUGGCAACAUCUGAUGGAUCAUGGAAAAAGCAAGAGAGUUCCAGAAAAACAUCUAUUUCUGUUUUAUUGACUAUGCCAAAGCCUUUGACUGUGUGGAUCACAAUAAACUGUGGAAAAUUCUGAAAGAGAUGGGAAUAUCAGACUACCUGACCUGACUCUUGAGAAACCUGUAUGCAGGUCAGGAGGCAACAGUUAGAACUGGACAUGGAACAACAGACUGGUUCCAAAUAGGAAAAGGAGUACGUCAAGGCUGUAUAUUGUCACCCUGCUUAUUUAACUUCUAUGCAGAGUACAUCAUGAGAAACGCUGGGCUGGAGGAAGCACAAGCUGGAAUCAAGAUCGCUGGGAGAAAUAUCAAUAACCUGAGAUAUGCAGAUGACACCACCCUUGUGGCAGAAAGUGAAGAACUAAAAAGCCUCUUGAUGAAAGAGGAGAGUGAAAAAGUUGGCUUAAAGCUCAACAUUCAGAAAACGAAGAUCAUGGCAUCUGGUCCCAUCACUUCAUGGGAAAUAGAUGGGGAAACAGUGGAAACAGUGUCAGACUUUAUUUUUGGGGGGCUCUAAAAUCACUGCAGAUGGUGAUUGCAGUCAUGAAAUUAAAAGACGCUUACUCCUUGGAAGGAAAGUUAUGACCAACCUAGAUAGCAUAUUGAAAAACAGAUGUUACUUUGCCAACAAAGGUCUGUCUAGUCAAGGCUAUGGUUUUUCCAGUGGUCAUGUAUGGAUGUGAGAGCUGGACUGUGAAGAAAGCUGAGUGCCGAAGAAUUGAUGCUUUCGAACUGUGGUGUUGGAGAAGACUCUUGAGAGUCCCUUGGACUGCAAGGAGAUCCAACCAGUCCAUUCUAAAGGAGAUCAGUCCUAGGUGUUCAUUGGAAGGACUGAUGUUACAGCUGAAGCUCCAAUACUUUGGCCACCUCAUGUGAAGAGCUGACUCAUUGGAAAAGACUCUGAUGCUGGGAGGGAUUGGGGGCAGGAGGAGAAGGGGACGACAGAGGAUGAGAUGGCUGGAUGGCAUCACUGACUCGAUGGAUGUAAGUCUGAGUGAACUCUGGGAGUUGGUGAUGGACAGGGAGGCCUGGCGUGCUGUGAUUCUUGGGGUUGCAAAGAGUCGGACACGACUGAGCAACUGAACUGAACUGAACUGAAUCAUCCUUCCAAUACUUGAAAGUAACUUUCACAUCUUUCAUCUUGGCUAUAGUCAAGUUCUUCACCGCUAGUGCCACCUGGGGAUUUGCUACCUGUCAUGCAUGCUAAGUCACUUUGGUCAUGUUUGAGGUUUCGUGACCCUAUAGACUGUAGCCUGCCUGGCUCCUCAGUCCAUGGGGAUUUGCUACCUUACCCAAAAGCAAAAGCGAAACACCAGUGAGCAAGAAACCCUAUGAACAAGCAACACCUAACGAUAAUUAGAUCCCUGACAUACAUGGAAAGUAUUUAGAACAAGGACAGCCACAGAAUAAUUUUUCUACAAAUACUAUCAUCAUCAUCAUCCUCAUCAUCAAUGUUUCCCAGUUUGGAUUGGAUAAUAAUGAGGAGCUGAGACAUCUGCCAAUGAAAUUCUCUGCCAUUGUACAUCAGUAGCCUCCUAUUACUCUAGGAUGAAUUAAGCUCUGAAGUGACAAGUUGAGUCAGAACUUGGACCAGUCCCCUAAUGAAAGCAAAUACAAGUGUUUUCACUGCCAUCUGAUUUGAAAGGGAAUAGUCAGGAUUCCAGGGAAGAGAAGGAAAGACUCUAGUGAAUUAGGGCUUUGCGGGAAGUGGAGAGAAAAUGGAGAAGUUCCCAGGCCUUUUGGGCACUCCCACUCCUUCCCUGUGACCACUGGUCUGCUCUUCCCUACAUGCACUGCUGAGAUUUGAAGUGAAGCCUAUGUCCUGGUGGGUCAGAACUGUGCAGUCAGACCGGCAUGGGCUCAAGUCUCAGGAUGGCUUCUGCACGUAUGUGCAGCGGGUAUAUUCAGAGCAGGCUGAUGCUCGGGCGCGACAGCGAGAGGCUUCCUUCCAGCUGCCUGCUGUGCUGCAGGGGCUGUCUUUCGGGGGUCCCGUGCUGCGCAUUCUCGCUGCGCCUGAUGACACCUUAAUCACGAUCAGAGAAGAUGGUGCCAUUUAUUUCUGGUCCCUGCAGCUGAAGUUGAAAAGAAGAAAGCGGGUUUUUGUAUGUGAUUCUCAUUUGAUAAGGAUGCUGAGUGCUCCAGUUUGAUUUUAUUUGCUAUUUUAAACUGCUCCUUGAGUGGCAUGAUUACAGAAAUUGUGUCCUUGAAUAUAAUAUAUUCAUGUUGGAUUUUGCCAGUCUAUGGGAUGCAAAUAUGAUCUGUAUAUGUAGGACAAGAUAAUUCUUCAUUCCGCUGCUAAAAUCAGAUGGAGUGAUGAAUUACACAUGAUUCCAUCAUGUAAUUUAUCAUGUCUUAAUGAAUGACAAAUGGAAAAGAAUUUUCCGUUUUUCUCCCUGUUAAUGGCUCUUUCAGUUUAGAUAGUUCUGGGAGAACUUACUGAAUCACAGAAUCAGAAAUUCAGAAGGCAAGAAGCACUGGGGAAGUACACUUAGGAAUAACAGUACCUGACCCAUUACAGAAUAGAGUCUAACUUUGAAGUCGUGUUUUAAUUACAUCUUUCAGCAAAUAGUUGAGCUCUUGUCGCUGCUCAGGUUCUAUGCUGGGUGCUGGGAAUAGAUGCCUGUUUCUGCCCUCAGGAAACUUAUCAUCCACCUAGUAGUUAUAGCUGAACUAUACCCCUCAGGCUGCCAAAUAAACCCUCCCUAGAAGUGAAGUCGCUCAGUCGUGUCUGACUCUUUGCGACCUCAUGGGCUGUAUCCUGCCAGGCUCC